CAGUCGCCGCGGUAAUACGUAGGGGGCAAGCGUUGUCCGGAAUUACUGGGCGUAAAGCGCGCGUAGGCGGUUACUCAAGUCAGAGGUGAAAGCCCGGGGCUCAACCCCGGAACUGCCUUUGAAACUAGGUGACUAGAAUCUUGGAGAGGUCAGUGGAAUUCCGAGUGUAGAGGUGAAGUUCGUAGAUAUUCGGAAGAACACCAGUGGCGAAGGCGACUGACUGGACAAGUAUUGACGCUGAGGUGCGAAAGCGUGGGGAGCAAACAGGAUUAGAUACCCCUGUAGUCCCUGUCUCUUAUAC
rnacentral:rRNA from 1 species